GAUGAACGCUGGCGGCGUGCCUAAUACAUGCAAGUCGAGCGAAUGGAUUAAGAGCUUGCUCUUAUGAAGUUAGCGGCGGACGGGUGAGUAACACGUGGGUAACCUGCCCAUAAGACUGGGAUAACUCCGGGAAACCGGGGCUAAUACCGGAUAACAUUUUGAACCGCAUGGUUCGAAAUUGAAAGGCGGCUUCGGCUGUCACUUAUGGAUGGACCCGCGUCGCAUUAGCUAGGUGGUGAGGUAACGGCUCACCAAGGCAACGAUGCGUAGCCGACGUGGGAGGGUGAUCGGCCACACUGGGACUGGGACACGGCCCAGACUCCUACGGGAGGCAGCAGUAGGGAAUCUUCCGCAAUGGACGAAAGUCUGACGGAGCAACGCCGCGUGAGUGAUGAAGGCUUUCGGGUCGUAAAACUCUGUUGUUAGGGAAGAACAAGUGCUAGUUGAAUAAGCUGGCACCUCGACGGUACCUAACCAGAAAGCCACGGCUAACUACGUGCCAGCAGCCGCCGUAA
rnacentral:rRNA from 1 species